rnacentral:rRNA from 1 species
GAUGAACGCUGGCGGCGUGCCUAACACAUGCAAGUCGAACGGAGAUUACGGACGGAAGUUCUCGGAUGGAUGGCUGUAAUUCUUAGUGGCGGACGGGUGAGUAACGCCUGGGCAACUUGCAUUAUACCGGGGGAUAGCAGCUGGAAACGGCUGAUAUGACCGCAUAAGUCGGUUAAUACUGAUGAUUUGAUCGGGAAAUGAGCAAUGAGGUAUAGGCUGGGCAUGCGCCCGUUUAGCCAGUAGGCAAGGUAAAAGCCUACAAAGGCAACGAUGGGUAGCCGGCCUGAGAGGGUGAUCGGACACACGGGAACGGAGCCACGGUCCAGACUCCGAGGGGAGGAAGCAGUAGGGAAUCUGCCGCAAAGGGCGAAAGCAUGACGGAGAAACGAAGCGGGAGUGAUGAAGGUAUUAGGAGCGUAAAACUCUGUUAUUAGGGAAGAACAAAUGUGUAAGUAAAUAUGCACGUCUUGACGGUACCUAAUCAGAAAGCAACGGCUAACUACGUG